rnacentral:rRNA from 1 species
GACGAACGCUGGCGGCGUGCCUAACACAUGCAAGUCGAACGAGAAUCUUUGAACAGAACUUUUCGGAGUGACGUUCAAAGAGGAAAGUGGCGGACGGGCGAGUAACGCGUGAGUAACCUGCCCAUAAGAGGGGGAUAAUCCAUGGAAACGUGGACUAAUACCGCAUAUUGUAGUUAAGUUGCAUGACUUGAUUAUGAAAGAUUUAUCGCUUAUGGAUGGACUCGCGUCAGAUUAGAUAGUUGGUGAGGUAACGGCUCACCAAGUCAACGAUCUGUAGCCGAACUGAGAGGUUGAUCGGCCGCAUUGGGACUGAGACACGGCCCAGACUCCUACGGGAGGCAGCAGUGGGGAAUAUUGCGCAAUGGGGGCAACCCUGACGCAGCAACGCCGCGUGCAGGAAGAAGGUCUUCGGAUUGUAAACUGUUGUCGCAAGGGAAGAAGACAGUGACGG